rnacentral:rRNA from 1 species
UACGUAGGGGGCGAGCGUUGUCCGGAUUUACUGGGUGUAAAGGGUGCUCAGGUGGUUUUGUAAGUCAGAGGUGAAAUCUCAGAGCUUAACUCUGGAACUGCCUUUGAUACUAUGAGACUUGUGUACGGAAGAGGUUGAUGGAAUUCCUGGUGUAGCAGUGAAAUGCGUAGAUAUCAGGAAGAACACCAGUGGCGAAGGCGGUCAACUGGUCCGGUACAGACACUAAAGCACGAAAGCGUGGGGAG